rfam:Erwinia iniecta strain B120 contig000006, whole genome shotgun sequence.
GUCAUACUACGGUGCAUUGAGGUGCAAAGUAAACGAUGACCCAUAGGGAACUCUGGGUUAAAAUACGUAUCAAAAUGCAAAACCGAUCCUGACCCUGGGGGAAUCUCCGGGUCAGGUUUCUUU